CCAGACUCCUACGGGAGGCAGCAGUGGGGAAUAUUGCACAAUGGGGGAAACCCUGAUGCAGCGACGCCGCGUGAGCGAUGAAGUAUUUCGGUAUGUAAAGCUCUAUCAGCAGGGAAGAAAAUGACGGUACCUGACUAAGAAGCCCCGGCUGACUACGUGCCAGCAGCCGCGGUAAUACGUAGGGGGCAAGCGUUAUCCGGAUUUACUGGGUGUAAAGGGAGCGUAGACGGCCGUUCAGGCCAGAUGUGAAAGCCCGGGGCUCAACCCCGGGACUGCAUUUGGAACUGUGGGGCUAGAGUGUCGGAGAGGCAGGCGGAAUUCCUAGUGUAGCGGUGAAAUGCGUAGAUAUUAGGAGGAACACCAGUGGCGAAGGCGGCCUGCUGGACGAUGACUGACGUUGAGGCUCGAAAGCGUGGGGAGCAAACAGGAUUAGAUACCCCAGUAAAA
rnacentral:rRNA from 1 species